CGCAGCCGCGGUAAUUCCAGCUCCAAUAGCGUAUAUUAAAGUUGUUGCAGUUAAAAAGCUCGUAGUUGAAUUUCGGGAUCAAGGAAUCGGUCAUGCCUCGGUAUGUACUGGUUUUAUUGGUUCUCACCUUCUAAAGAACCAUAAUGUCAUUCAUUUGGUGUUAUGGGGAAUUAGGACUGUUACCUUGAAAAAAUUAGAGUGUUUAAAGCAGGCUCACGCUUGAAUACAUUAGCAUGGAAUAACGGAAUAGGACGUUUGAUUCUAUUUUGCUGGUUUCUAGGAUCGACGUAAUGAUUAAUAGGGAUAGUUGGGGGCAUUAGUAUUCAAUUGUCAGAGGUGAAAUUCUUGGAUUUAUUGAAGACUAACUACUGCGAAAGCAUUUGCCAAGGAUGUUUUCAUUAAUCAAGAACGAAAGUUAGGGGAUCGAAGACGAUCAGAUACCGUCGUAGUCUUAACCAUAAACUAUGCCGACUAGGGAUCGGAUGAUGUUAAUUUUUUAAUGUACUCA
rnacentral:rRNA from 1 species